rnacentral:rRNA from 1 species
AUACGGAGGGUCCAAGCGUUAUCCGGAAUCAUUGGGUUUAAAGGGUUCGUAGGCGGGUCAAUAAGUCAGAGGUGAAAUCUUGCAGCUUAACUGUAAAAUUGCCUUUGAAACUGUUGACCUUGAAUUACUGUGAAGUGGUUAGAAUAUGUAGUGUAGCGGUGAAAUGCUUAGAGAUUACAUAGAAUACCGAUUGCGAAGGCAGAUCACUAACAGUAUAUUGACGCUGAUGAACGAAAGCGUGGGUAGCGAACGGGAUUAGAUACCCCAGUAGUCC